GAUGAACGCUCGCGGCAGGCCUAAUACAUGCAAGUCGAACGGGUGGUCGCAAGACCACUAGUGGCGCACGGGUGCGUAACGCGUAACCAACCUGCCCCGAUCUGGGGGAUAGCCCGCCGAAAGGCGGAUUAAUACCGCAUAUACCCGCAGCCUGGCAUCAGGCAACGGGGAAAGAUUUAUUGGAUCGGGAUGGGGUUGCGUGACAUUAGCUAGUGGGCGGGGUAAGGGCCCACCAAGGCGACGAUGUCUAGGGGACCUGAGAGGGUGAACCCCCACACUGGCACUGGGACACGGGCCAGACUCCUACGGGAGGCAGCAGUAGGGAAUAUUGGGCAAUGGGCGAGAGCCUGACCCAGCCAUGCCGCGUGCCGGAUGAAGGGCUUCUGGGUUGUAAACGGCUUGUCUCAGGGAAGAAAAAGACCUUGCGAGGUACACUGACGGUACCUGAGGAAUAAGCACCGGCUAACUCCGUG
rnacentral:rRNA from 1 species